rnacentral:ribozyme from 13 species
CAGUAGGAGGAAAGUCUUUAUGCGGGAUCAGUGAUGAUGGUAAUGUUUUUUGUGUUGGAUUCAAUGAACACGGACAACUGGGUCUCGGCAACAGUGAUCAUAC